GGGUAAGUCUUAUACGACCAGCUCCCUUUGAAUCCCCCAGGUUCGGAAGAAAGCAAGGGCAGAAGGUUGUAGCGGUGCGAUGUAAGUAACUUGCCCCUU
rnacentral:SRP_RNA from 1 species